rnacentral:rRNA from 1 species
UAAAACUCAAAUGAAUUGACGGGGGCCCGCACAAGCGGUGGAGCAUGUGGUUUAAUUCGAUGCAACGCGAAGAACCUUACCUACUCUUGACAUCCAGAGAACUUUCCAGAGAUGGAUUGGUGCCUUCGGGAACUCUGAGACAGGUGCUGCAUGGCUGUCGUCAGCUCGUGUUGUGAAAUGUUGGGUUAAGUCCCGCAACGAGCGCAACCCUUAUCCUUGUUUGCCAGCACGUAAUGGUGGGAACUCCAGGGAGACUGCCGGUGAUAAACCGGAGGAAGGUGGGGACGACGUCAAGUCAUCAUGGCCCUUACGAGUAGGGCUACACACGUGCUACAAUGGCGUAUACAGAGGGCUGCCAACCAGCGAUGGUGAGCGAAUCCCAGAAAGUACGUCGUAGUCCGGAUUGGAGUCUGCAACUCGACUCCAUGAAGUCGGAAUCGCUAGUAAUCGUGAAUCAGAAUGUCACGGUGAAUACGUUCCCGGGCCUUGUACACACCGCCCGUCACACCAUGGGAGUGGGCUGCACCAGAAGUAGAUAGCUUAACCUUCGGGAGGGCGUUUACCACGGUGUGGUUCAUGACUGGGGUGAAGUCGUAACAAGGUAGCCCUAGGGGAACCUGGGGCUGGAUCACCUCCUUACCUAA